rnacentral:misc_RNA from 1 species
UCUCUAUCCUUGACUCCGUCCUUUUAUACCAGACCAGUUGAGUAAAUCUGUUCCCACUAGUCCCCGAAGGUUUGCGAACCAAGGAGUUGUUUAUCUCUCAGAAAUCCAAUCUGCCGAAGAUCUCAGAGAACUUAGUGCUAAACAGGCAAAAGGGAUUCUAGCGAUGAACAGGGUAAACUUCAAGGGCUGUGUAGAGAAGGAGGAACUGUUGAAGAUUGUUGAAAGGUUGUGGAGGCAAGAGGUCAGGAACAAGGAGCAUUUAGAGGAUAUGGAGGAUGAUUCUAUCUGUAAAAUUUGCAUGGAUGCCCCGAUUGACUGCGUGAUGCUAGAGUGUGGGCACAUGUGCACCUGCACUAACUGUGGAAAACAGAUGGCAGAGUGCCCAAUAUGUCGACAAUAUGUUGUCAGGGUUGUCCGGACUUUCAAGGCAUAAGAAGAACAUUAGCAAGACAAGAUUUAUUUCUGUCACAAGAAUUUGUAAAUUUAGUCUCAACCAGUGGUCGGAAUUAAUUCAAGAAUAUGCAAAACUAUUUUGAAAAUUUAUCUUUACGUUCGCCACUUGUAAGGUGUACACUUGAAAAGUUGUAAUUGCUUAGUAAACUUUAUUUUUUUUCUCUUUUUAACUUGCUGAGUCACGCAACUUCUUUUGAGCUUAAAACAUUUAUGUUAUAUGAGUUAAAAUCUCAUCAGAUCGUUAUUCGUUAAAGUUUACUCAUUCCUGAAACCAAGGUUUCAAUCAAAUCACUUUGCAUUUCACCCUUUAGCUCUCUUUCCAGUUGCCGACCAUGUGAUACAAACCUAUUUCAAAGUUGUACAAUAUAAAUAUUAAAGUUGGUAUAUAAUAUAUGAUAUAUAAAUAAAUUAUACAGUGAAA